AAUUGUUUGAACAAAUUUGAGCAGCACUUCGAAUGGGUCAAUUUUUUAUUGUAGUAUUUUAUCACAACAUUUUAUCGGUUUACAGCGUCUGGUAGCUAAUAGGGAAAUCGAAAAACAUUUUUGUUGUUCAAUAAAUGCAUAAUUAUUUUCUGCAAGUACGGUCUGUUCUAACCACUCAAGUUAUCGUACAUUGGUAUCGUUACAGCUCACAACCGUUAAUGUUCCAUUAACGUGUAUUUGUUUCUUUCUUUAAUUUUUUUUCAUUAUAAUUUAAUUACGUUUAAUUAGAAUAUGACAACCUCCAAGCAACGCACGUGGAAACAGAACAAAAGCUUCAGCAAAUGAUAAAAGAAAAUGCUUCAUUAAAAAUUGAAAAUUCGUCUUUGAAAUCAAAAUGUGCAAUGUUCACUCAGCUUCAAGAAGAAAAUUCAGACCUUCAAAACAGCAUUUUAAAAUGCGAAUCGGAAUUGAAAGCUUGCUUAGACGAGAAAAAUGCUAUACUGCUAAAAUAUGCCUUAAAAGUUAUUGAAAAUACUCGCAAUGAAUUGAGUGCCUCGCAAUUGUCUAUUGCCAAUUUGAAAGACACGUUAAUUAAAUACCAGUUGGAGUACUAUAUAAGAUGCUAAGGAUAAGGAUCUACAUAAGAUGCAUAAUCUAAUCCAAGAUUUGAAAGGAAUUCUAGGCUCAUGUAUCUUUUACAAUCCAGUCUGGGAGGCAACUCAAAAACGCCUCAUGAUUGCCAACAUAUCGCCUUUCGUAGAAUGUUUUCGAGAAAGUAUACAGUCGUUAAGAUUUGCAGCCAAAGUAAAAGAGGUGAAGACUGUGAUUCAACGAAAUAAAAGUAUCCUGGAAUAACUGUAGCAAAACUAAAUCAUUUUAGUUGCUGUAUAUUAUUUAAAACGUAAUUUGUUGUAGGAUUGAGAUAAAAUAUAAUAAAAACAGCAACAAAAAAUA